GUGCCGCAGUUAACACAAUAAGUAUCCCACCUGGGGAGUACGAUCGCAAGGUUGAAACUCAAAGGAAUUGACGGGGGCCCGCACAAGCGGUGGAGUAUGUGGUUUAAUUCGAAGCAACGCGAAGAACCUUACCAGGGCUUGACAUCCCGGUGACCGGCAUAGAGAUAUGCUUUUCUCUUCGGAGACACCGGUGACAGGUGGUGCAUGGUUGUCGUCAGCUCGUGUCGUGAGAUGUUGGGUUAAGUCCCGCAACGAGCGCAACCCUUAUUGUUAGUUGCUACGCAAGAGCACUCUAGCGAGACUGCCGUUGACAAAACGGAGGAAGGUGGGGACGACGUCAAAUCAUCAUGCCCCUUAUGUCCUGGGCCACACACGUACUACAAUGGUGGUCAACAGAGGGAAGCAAAACCGCGAGGUGGAGCAAAUCCCUAAAAGCCAUCCCAGUUCGGAUCGCAGGCUGCAACCCGCCUGCGUGAAGUUGGAAUCGCUAGUAAUCGCGGAUCAGCAUGCCGCGGUGAAUACGUUCCCGG
rnacentral:rRNA from 1 species